UUUUUAACAUAUAGUUGCAAAUAAUUAUGUUAUUACAAUUCAAAUUUGGCUUGCUGAUUUAUUACUAUAAAUAAGAGUACUCAAAGAAACACAUAAUUGCAAACAAAAAUAUAGAAUCAUCUCCAACAUGAAGAAGGCCUUUCUCCUGAUUUGCAUUCUUUUGGUUACCAUUUCCUUUUCCCCUUCUCUCACUUCAGCUAGGGAAUUAGCUGCUAUUGGGAAAGAUGCAAGAAUACCAAUUCCAAAAGGGUGGCCGCGGCCAGGUAAGCCAACACCCCUACCAUUUCGAUGCAGCCCUGGGAAGAAAAAUUGUCUGCCUAAAUUCCCUCCCAAAAGAAGAAUGCAUGCCCCACCUCCCCCACGUUGAGGCCCUUACAUAAAGAAGGGUUGUGAUUCUCAUA